rnacentral:tRNA from 1 species
GUACUCGUCGUUCAACGGAUAGGACAUUAGCUUGCGGAGCUGAUAAUCGAGGUUCGAUUCCUCGCGAGUACACCA